rnacentral:ncRNA from 2 species
AUUUUAUCUAGAGAGACCGAGGGAUAGGCCCUAUGACGUCCGGCAACCCCCUGCCAAAGGGAAGGUGCCAAUUCCUACAGAAUGAGUACAUUCUGGAAGAUAAAUC